CCUGGGGAUCUGGUUAAAAUCCAAUGUGAUUCAGGAGGUUUGGGGUGGGCCUGAGAUUCUGCAUUUCCAACAAGCUCCCAGGUGGUGCUGAUGCUGCUGGUCUGAGGAUUACACUUGGAAUAGCAA
rnacentral:miRNA from 1 species